CAGCCGCCGCGGGAAUACAGAGGCCUCAAGCGUUGUUCGGAUUCAUUGGGCGUAAAGGGAGCGUAGGCGGUCGGGUAAGUUGGAUGUGAAAUCCUGGGGCUCAACCUCAGAACUGCAUUCAAUACUGCUUGGCUAGAGUACUGGAGAGGAGAGUGGAAUUCACGGUGUAGCAGUGAAAUGCGUAGAUAUCGUGAGGAAGACCAGCGGCGAAGGCGGCUCACUGGACAGUUACUGACGCUGAGGCACGAAAGCGUGGGGAGCAAACAGGAUUAGAUACCCCUGUAGUCCCUGUCUCUUAUAC
rnacentral:rRNA from 1 species